UAAUCAUUUGCCCUUUAAUUCAGGGCUCGUAUGAAAGGAUGAACGAAAUUCCUACUUUAUUAAUUCUACAAUUUAUAACUUAUACUCCAGGUGAAAAUACCUGUAUCCCUAUGUAAGACAAGAAGACCCUAUAGAGUUUUACUAACUCUUUCCCCUAUAAACCAAGUUAUUUUGAUUGGGGCGAUUAAGGAUUUUAUAUUACAUCCUAACAUUAAUAAGACUCUCAGUCACUAUAUAGAUCCUUCUAGAACUUAAACUAAACUACCUUAGGGGUAACAGGCUUAUCUUCCUAACAAGUCCAAAUUAACAGGAAGGUUUGGCACCUCGAUGUUGGCUUAGAGAAACCGAAUAAAGCAAAAAUUAUUUUGGUUAGUUUGUUCAACUAUUAAACCUCU
rnacentral:rRNA from 1 species